AUGUAUUUUACAUUAAGCAAUUUGUUAUUGUUGUUGUUUUUUUUAGGGUCUGUUGAAUGCAAUUUCUCUGAACCUACUGGAGCGCCGUGUUUCGGAGCAGUGGGACAGCUGUUGAUUUUUCAUCUGCCAAAUACAGCCCAGUCAAAUAUUAGGUUGAAAAAGGAUAAUAGAUAUACAAUUUUAAAAUUGGAAAAAAAUCAAAGAGUUACUCUGCGCGAUGAAUAUGUGAAUCAGUCUGAACUCUUCACCAAUGGAACAUUCAAACUAGGUAACGCAAUGAAAAAACACUCUGGAGAGUACAUGUGGGAGCAAUUUGGAUCUGAUGGUGUUUUACUGAGAAAAGCUAGCGUGCACCUUGAAAUACAAGCUCCGCUGUCCAAGCCAGCUGUUUCUCAGAUGUGUAUGUCGCCAGAACAGAUGAGCGUCAGCUGCUCCUCUGAGGGAGAGGAAGUAGAGUUCAUUUUGACCUUAGACGGUCUCUUACUGAUGCAGACCAGAGGUCGCUGCCAGCCACUGAGCAGCUCGACAGCAAACAUGCUGCCAGUUGCUGGGAAUAAAAAUAAAGACAAAUCCAAUAUUUCAGAUGUUACCAUGACCUUACAUGGUCAACUGACAGGAAACCUGAUGUGUCAUGUUUCGAACAAUGUCAGCAAAGAGGAAACAGUUAUUCACCUGGCAAAUUGUAAAGGUACAGUAUUUAAAGAACAAUCAUAUCCCAUAUAGCUAUAGUAUAUUAAUUCCUCUACAUGAAGUAUUUUACUAAUUUCCAGUCUAGAUGGGACAUAUCAGUCUUUAGACGUAACAUUCUCAGAGCUUUUUGCACAUUGAGACUUGCGAAUCAAAUGUUUACAUCAAUAUCUGCCUAAUUCUGUCUGCUAUUGUUUGUGUUCUCUAGCUUCCACUUUUCACAUCUCUGUUGCUAUGGCUGUGAGAGCUGGUGUUGUCACUCUACUUAUCUUGGCUUUGUGCCUUGGUGUCUGCCAUGUAUAUAAGAAAACAAGAUCUAUGUAAGACAUAAGGUAAGAGAAUAGAACUUCAAUUGUCCGUUUUCUUGCCCUUUAAAACUGAUAGAAAAUAUGCCAUUAACACGUUAAUUAAGUGUAUCAAGAGAAGAUGCGAAGAGGCUGAAACAACACAGACUGCACCAGUUUACACAUCACAUUGUCCAUUUAUAAAUAAACCUCUGUUUAUUUAAAUUUAGCCUUAUCAUUUUCACAAAUCUAACAGUUGAUAGAAGGAAGCAGAAAAAACCUGCAGGUUUGUAUAGUUUGUUUGACUAAUGGGCCUCUCUCUGAGAUACGUUGUUACAACCUGAACAGCUGAUAUUGUUUGUGAGAAAAUCUUUUAAUUUACACAAAGAUGUGUUGUAAUAAUAUUCGUUUUUAAUGUAAUUCUAAGCUUUUUUUAAAAAUGUUUUUUCUUUUGAAUUUUCUAGGUAUUUCCAGAGAUGGAGUUCUCAACUGAGCUGUUAAUUAUAAGAUGUAGCAUAAUCUUCAUAUAAGGCCAUUAUUCAUACAACAGCCCUUGCUUAAAUUCUUUCUGUAAAAAGAUGAUGUUUUUUUAAAUGUGAUUUGUAUAGGCACAGUUUUGAAACUGUGACAUUUGUUUUUUAAAGCUUUAUGCAUGUCCUUUCUAAAUGUGACAGUGGUAUUCUUCAGUGAUUUGCUUUGUAACUGUGGCUGGUAUUGAUGUAAAACUCUUUUAAAAAACACAAUAGAAAGACUUGAUGAUUAACACAAUCAAUGGAUUCCCUUUUCACUCGAGUGGUGUGUUGUUUCCAUUGUCUUUAUUUAACCAUAACAGCCAUCAAAUCAAGAUCUAAUGCAAAUAAAGAGAAGAUGACAAUGGAAUGGAAGCUUAAUUAGUAUCAUUGGUAACACUUGUGUUUUCCCUACUAUUUUAUGUCAAAAUAGCUCCUGUGAAAAAGGUCCAUUGCCUUAACUAUUCAACUCCCCAGCAACAGUGUAGAGAGCGAAGUGAUUAGAAAGCUUUAAGUAUGUAAAGAUCAUUAUUGGACCACAAGGUGGAGCCAAAAGACCCAACAGACCCAACGUAACUAGAAAGUUACAUUAACUCAAGUGCUAUAAAAUGCUUUAUUCAACCACAUCACUUUGUAUGGGUGGAUAUAGAAGUGCUGGUGUUUCCUUUUUGUGUCAUUGUGAAGUGAACUUAUCACAGUUGUAACUUUGAUUUUGACUUCAUUCGUCAUGUCUCACUCUAAAGUUACAGUCCAAAACUGCAAAACAUUAGCUUUCAGUAAACAUUAAAAGCUCAAUUUAAAAAAACUGGUAUGAGUACAAAAUGCACAUCACAAACAGGAAAUGGAGUUCUCUCACCAAAAGCUCAUCUAAGUAACACGGUUUUCAGAUAUUUUACAGCAUUUGAUAGAUAUGUAUGAUAAAUAUAUUUAUAUAUAGAUAAAAACAACCAAGAUCUAAAAAGUGCACUGUAAAAAUAUGUCUAAAAACUAGAUAAAAAGUACAUUUAUGACAGCUUCUUGUAGACAGCAACAACACUAACGCAUGCACAAAGGUCCUUUUGGUAUGUAUGGAGUAACUAUCUGAAGUCCAGCACGCUACUUUAUUUAAAAAGAAAGAGAUUACUCAACAAGCACCCCAGCUGAGACAAUCAACUCACUUGAUGCUGCUCUCACAAGCUAAGCUUAAAUGCAUGACUACAGUUAUGUGUAUUGGGCUUUCAAUCAACAUGGCUGAAAUACACUCAGUACUGUGCCUGAACACAUUCUGUGUAGACACUCGGACAGCAACUCUAAAGCUCUGAGGCAACAAAAACCCAAAGGACCAUAAACCCAAACAGCAGAAUAGUAUUUUUUGUCUUUAUCUCUGUACAUAAGCAAGAAAUCGUAUGGCAAAGAACAUUUUAAAUUACAUAGCAUGACCUAUACUGCAACAAAAAUCAAUCAGUCAACUGAGCUGUGAGGUGACUUGUGAAAGAGCACUUGCACAAUUUGAACACCGAUGUUAUGGGUACUAAAGAAUAUCUAUAUUAUGUCUAUAAUAUCUGGUGCAUUUCUGGCACCUGGUGUUCUUUACCGAUUACUAUGACUGAGCACUGACUCUGUUGCCAGUCUGCUUUAUUGUAUUGUUGAAUGCAAUCUAUCUUCACAGCAGAGAUAAGAUGAGUCUCCUCUGGGGCUGUUAGAGUUUCAAAUCAGGCACUGUGGGUGAAGAGGUGACAGAAUUAAAAAAAACAGUGGUUUUUAACUGUCACACAUAGUUAAAUUCUGCGCUACCUGAGUUUCCUGUGAGAAAGUUUUGUGAUGCAGAUGUUUCUAAGUAAUAUGGUUCUUCAAUAAAAGGUGUUAGGUGUAAGACAGGAAGUGUUGUUUUGCAGAAGUGUAGCACUUCUCAUCUUUAGGCAGGUUUACAAUGUGCUUACAACACCAACAGGUCCACUACCUCUGUAAUUCAUGUCAGGAUCUAUUAGCAGGUAUGUUUUCACUAUUGUAUUAUCUCCUGAAUUUAGGAAUUCUUAUGUUUUUGUUACCUUAGAAUUAACCAUUUUUAUCUACAGACACCCUUUAUGGGGUCCGCCGUUUGACAGUUUCUUGCCCAGAAGGGACAAACCAUACACUGGCUGUAGAUAGGGGUUUUCGUGUCUUUAUAUCAGUGUGUCUUUAUAUUGUUCAGUAAAUUUAGAACUAAAAAAAGCAGUAUUUCAUACUAGGCUACUUAUGUUACUAGCAACUAACCACUUCCUU
rnacentral:lncRNA from 1 species